AGCGAACGCUGGCGGCGUGCUUAACACAUGCAAGUCGAACGAUGAACUUGGAGCUUGCUCUGGGGGAUUAGUGGCGAACGGGUGAGUAACACGUGAGUAACCUGCCCUGGACUCUGGGAUAACUUCGAGAAAUCGGAGCUAAUACCGGAUAGGACCUUGCACCGCAUGGUGUGGGGUGGAAAGUUUUUCGGUUUGGGAUGGACUCGCGGCCUAUCAGCUUGUUGGUGAGGUAAUGGCUCACCAAGGCGUCGACGGGUAGCCGGCCUGAGAGGGUGACCGGCCACACGGGGAGUGAGAAACGGCCCAGACUCCUAGGGGAGGCAGCAGUGGGGAAUAUUGCAAAAUGGGCGCAAGCCUGAUGCAGCAACGCCGCGUGCGGGAUGACGGCCUUCGGGUUGUAAACCGCUUUUAGUAGGGAAGAAGCCUUCGGGGGACGGUACCUGCAGAAAAAGGACCGGCUAACUACGUGCCAGCCGCCGCCGUAAGAC
rnacentral:rRNA from 1 species